UACAGAGGUCUCGAGCGUUGUUCGGAUUCAUUGGGCGUAAAGGGUGCGUAGGUGGCGUCGUAAGUCAGGUGUGAAAUCUCGGGGCUCAACCCCGAAACUGCACUUGAUACUGCGAUGCUUGAGUACUGGAGAGGAGAUUGGAAUUUACGGUGUAGCAGUGAAAUGCGUAGAUAUCGUAAGGAAGACCAGUGGCGAAGGCGAGUCUCUGGACAGUUACUGACGCUGAGGCACGAAGGCCAGGGGAGCAAACGGG
rnacentral:rRNA from 1 species